ACUAAAUAACAAAAAAAUUGCCUGUUUAAAAAGUGAAAACUUUUUUUAGUGCUCAAACUUGCAGCAGAGUUAUGAAAACCUCAACGCAAAAAAAAAAAAAAAAAGCUUAAUUUGGGUUAUAAGCGGUCAUCUGUGUACCUGUCAUUCAUCCUCCAAGGGAUAGGCGCCUACCUCUUUGUUAUCCCUGUGCCUGGCACAAGCACGGACUCGGUAAGCAGUAAGAAAUGAACAGCCAGGACAUGCCCUGGAUAACUCUGAGGAAGGAUCUUCAUCACUUGGUGUUGCCAGGGGAAAAAGACUUCAGACCCUCAAGAUUUUAAGGCAAUAUUCUAAUCAACUACUCUGAACCCAGUUUUGACUGAAGAAAGGGAUCUGCCUCCAUGAUGCCCAUGACUGCUGCUUAUAUUUAUCCCUUACCCCAUCCCCAAAUGUCAAGUAUAUUUAACCACGAAUGUAUAGGUUCUGGAGUUACAGAGAUUUUUCAGAUCCCAGUUCCAUCAUUUACUAGCACUGUGACACUGGACAAGUUUUUUCCUAUUCUUUCAUUUCUUUAAUAUCAAGAUCAUGGAUAAUGACACCUACUUCAUAAGUUCGGACAAUAAAAUGAGUCAAUGGACAUAGAGUAA